UACGGGGGGAGCAAGCGUUGUUCGGAUUUACUGGGCGUAAAGGGCGCGUAGGCGGCCAGCACAAGUCAGUUGUGAAAUCUCCGAGCUUAACUCGGAAAGGUCAACUGAUACUGUGCGGCUAGAGUGCGGAAGGGGCAACUGGAAUUCUUGGUGUAGCGGUGAAAUGCGUAGAUAUCAGGAGGAACACCAAUAGCGAAGGCAGCUCGCUGGGACGGUACUGACGCUAAGGCGCGAAAGCGUGGGGAGCGAACAGG
rnacentral:rRNA from 1 species